rnacentral:rRNA from 1 species
ACGGGUGGAGUAACGCGUGGGUAACCGUGCCCUGUACAGGGGGAGUAACAGUCAGAAAUGACUGCUAAUACCGCAUAAGACCACAGCACCGCAUGGUGCAGGGGUAAAAACUACCGGUGGUACAGGAUGGACCCGCGUCUGAUUAGCUGGUUGGUGAGGUAACGGCUCACCAAGGCGACGAUCAGUAGCCGGCUUGAGAGAGUGAACGGCCACAUUGGGACUGAGACACGGCCCAAACUCCUACGGGAGGCAGCAUG